rnacentral:rRNA from 1 species
UACGUAGGGGGCUAGCGUUGUCCGGAAUCAUUGGGCGUAAAGAGCGUGUAGGCGGCCCGGUAAGUCCGCUGUAAAAGUCAAAGGCUCAACCUUUGAAUGUCAGUGGAUACUGCCGGGCUAGAGUCCGGAAGAGGCGAGUGGAACUCCUGGUGUAGCGGUGAAAUGACGCAGAUAUCAGGAGGAACACCGGUGGCGAAGGCGGGUCUCUGGGCCGAUACUGACGCUGAGGAGCGAAAGCGUGGGGAGCGAACAGG